AAUGACGAUAGAGGUGCGAACUUCAAUAGUAAGCAUAAACAGGAAAAUGGUUUCCGUUUACUUAUGCUGAAAGGGGAGCGUCGCCGAAGAAGAAAGGGUGCCAUUGCUGUUUCUUCUGGUUUUGCAUUGAAUAAAUGCAGGGCUGUCAAGAUUAAUCUUGGAGAGCUAUCUCAUUG
rnacentral:ncRNA from 2 species